rnacentral:lncRNA from 1 species
AUGGACUCUGUAUAUGAAAUGAAAGUGUGUUUUUGGGAUCUUCGCCCUCAGAAGUCUCUAGAGUUUAGCAGAUGGUGUGAGAAAACAACAAGGUGUUGCAUGGAUGGACUGCAGCAGCUGAGAUCUUCACAAUACUGUCAGAGCUCAUCAGAACAGACCUGCGCUCCAUCAGUUGAGAUCCAGUGCUCAGAGUCUAAGAUAACAACAGACAGUUGAGGGGGGAUGAAUUACAUGACUAACCUACGUACAGCUGAAUCAAGGUCAGUUUUGGAUAUGUGAGCCCUGUGCUCCUUGAACACCUAAACCGUGUGGUGCAUCAGUGAGCAACAUAUGCUUUAUUUGUGGACGUCAGGAGAAAGAGUCUGAAAAGAAAUGCAAUGCACUUUGGUGUCAUUUUCCAGCUUUAUAUUUUUAGACUCUACAGUGAAACUCCGAUAUGUGGAUGAGUUUGUUUCUUCAUCAGAUUUGGAGAAAUGUAGCAUUGCAUCACUUGUUCACCAAUGGAUCUCUGUAGUGAAUGGGUGCCGUCAGAAUGAGAGUCUGUUUUGGGUUUUAAACGGUGCUUGAUCUGUGCAGACUUCUCUCCUGAUUCAGACCAGAGAACUUCUUCACUGAAGGAAGCAUUAUUAUGGAUAGAGGACUCCAUAUUUUAGCUGAUUUGAAGUUAAAAAUAUCUUGAUGAUUGAUUUGUUCCUUACAAACACACAGCUCUUGGCUUUAUAAGACUGAUGGACUGGAGUGGUGUGGAUGAUUGUGAUGUUUUAAUCAGCUGUUUGGACUCUCAUUCUGACGGCACCCAUUCACAGCAGAGGAUCCAUUUGUGAGCAAGUGAUACAACGCUAAUGUAAUGUAUCAAGUUUUCGGUUUAUUACAGGUUCACUUCCCAGGUCCAAGAGCUAUGCACUUAAUGCAUGACUAUAGGAAAGUGUCUGGUUUAGUUCUAUUCUCAAAGGAAACCUUAAUGUUCAUGUGUUGCCAAAGCAGCUCACGACAUGUUAAUUUUAGCUCCAGAGGAAAACACAUCAAGCUAUGAGGUCUAUGAUUUGCUGUUUUCUGAAGUUGCACAGAAAUGGGGGAUAAAAUGAAGUUAAGACUCAUCUGAGUGGCUGUAGCAGCUUCUCUGUGGCUUUAUGAAUUAUGAAUGUCGGUCCCAGUCUUGCUACUAUUUUUAAUUUCGCUUUUGCAAACAGGAUUAAGACGCUGGUGUGUGGGAAUGCAUGUGCGCCGCAUGUGUCUUUAGACAUGCAAAUGUGUUUCUUCAUCUUCAGAGCUUCAACACUGAAUGUG